GGUAACGUAUGUUAGGAUGAGGCCAUGUGUAGGAGAAAUGCAGGCUCUCCACUGCUCUCCUCUCUGCUCAUGUUAUUGCUGCCAGUGUUCAUGUGCUGUCUCGGGAACAGAACGAGGAUUGCGGUGGAGCGUCGGGUCUGAGUCCAUCAAUCAUGUCCAUGGUCAUUCUGCAGCUGCCGUUGCUCUGGCUUCUGAUUGGACGAGGACACUGCCUCUCGUGACCUCAGCAUGGAGAUGCCACACCCCCUCAACGAUGCCAAAACGUACCAGAUCCAGCUGCACAUUUGAUCGUUCAUCCGGACUCCCACGCUACAGCCCAGCACAUGGAGGGAGAGGCUCUGACCCAGGAAGUACAAAACCCAAGCCGCGAUCACUCACAGCCUUUAAGGUCAAAGUAGGUCGAAGAUGAUAUAUGAGCAACGACCUUUGACAUUUGACCUGUGAGGUCAGACUCUCUGUCCACAUGAGCGACGGGGUGGGCAGACCUUGACACUUCAUCGUCACUUCCUGUCUUUAAAAUGAAAAAAAAAAAGAUCCAGUAACAACACUGCCAACCAAAGUUUCGCCCUUUAUCAGUGUGAUGCCUUCAACAUAUUUACACGGCUAAUUCCUCCGUAUUAAAAACUGUUUAUAUGUGACUUUUAUGGCCUCGUCACGUCACAUCUUUAAUGGACCCCUCCGGGUCGGGUCAAAAUUCAGCCUUGUUUGUGGUCUGCAGCUCAUUACUGAAAAAAAAGGACAAAUGAGCUUGUGACCCAAUGCAAAAGUCUCUUGUUUUUCCCAGUGGUCUCCACCUCUGUGCCUCGGGAAUAUCGGUUUCAUUUCUGACCGCUGUUUCGAGUGAACAAUCCCUCCCUCCAUUAGUCCGCGGGUACCCGUAUUUGCUAUCACACGGUGAUUUUUAUCUGCCCAUAGUGCAUUUCAAACAUGCACUGCUGCCAAACGUUACCCUGUGUGUGGUCUUGCUGUACUUUGCACUUGAUGCCAAGCAGGUCGUGUGGCCAAACAGCCCUUUGGUUCUUAUUUAGGGCUUUUUAAAUGACAGCCGAUUCACAAAAGCUCGCAAGUUUAUGCGUCCUGGUUGUGAAUAUGAAGAGAAAACCCCGCUGUUGCAUGUGUGUGUUUUUUUUCUUUUUUGGUGCAUUACUGGUUUAUUUUAGAUUAAGUUAUUUUAAAUGAGCAAAUAGUUUUCUGCUGUAUGUUUAAUGUCGAGUUUUAUGUGCUAUAUUUAAUGUAUGUGUGGAUAUGCAGAUGCUAAAGGGUGAAAGGCGUUUAUGACAUAGUUGCUCUUUCCCACACUUUAAUAUCAUCUGGAGAACUCAAAAAGGUGGGAAGAAAAUGAUCUAAUGUUUACAGAUAUUUUGAGACACUCAAGAGUUUUUAUAAGAAAUGUUGCCCCUGGUUGUGCUGUCACUGGUGUGUCAUUUUUCACUUUAAUGUCAGAGGCAGAGCUCUGUCAGCCUUUCUUUCCUGUCAAUGUGCCUUGAUGUGAAUGGAUUCA